rnacentral:lncRNA from 1 species
GUUUGUUUUUUACGACCAUACCCACGGCAUGUGAAGUUCCCAGGCUAGGGGUCGAAUCAGAGCUGUAGCUGCCAGCCUAUGCCGCAGACACAGCAAUGCAGGAUCCGAGCCACAUCUGCGACCUAUAUCAUAUGUCACAGCAACUCGGGUUCCUUAACCCACUGAGCGAGGCCAGGGAUUGAACCCUCAUCCUUGUGGAUCCUAGUUGGGUUCAUUAACCACUGAGCCACAAAGGGAACUCUGACUUGUUUUAAAAUGAUCACUUUGGAUGUUGUGCUGACAGCAGACAGUUGAGGGACAAGGGGAGAAGCAGAGUUGAAACUCUCUUGCCCCUAGAGCACAUUAACAUUCAUCAACUGGAGAAUUCAGGAGAAACCAGCCAAGGAGCCUGUGAAGUGGCAGAUGAAGUAGGAGGAAAACUUCCCAGAAGGCAAGUCGACACUUUAAAAAGUAGGGAGCAGAGUUGCCUGCGGUGCAGCAGGUUAAGGAUCUGCUGUUGUCACUGCAGUGGCUUGGUUCGCUGCCAUGGUGUAGGUUCAUUCCCAGGCCUAGGAAUUUCCACAUGCUCUGGAUGCAGCCAAAAAAAAAAAAAAAAAAAAAGUAGGGAGUGACCAAACUAUGUCAGAUGCUGAAGAUCAAAACCAAGAAGUAGCCGUCAAGAGAUCUCAAGAUUCUUGAGAUCAGUGUUAGUAAAAGCAGUGAGACAGUCUGUACUGGAUAUGAGACAGGUGAGUAGAGAAAACAGCUCUUGGAAAGAAUUUUGAGUCAAACGGUAAAUCUCUUGUCCCAUCAAGGGGAGCAGAGGAGCUAUAUCCUUUUUAUAUAAGGAUAUAUAAAAAGGAUUUGUUUGUUUUUCAGGUGAGAGAUAGCAUUACGUUUUGUAUGCUAAUGGCAAUGAUUCGUUAGAAGAUUAGCGAUGCCGGAGGGAGCGGAUAAUAGUUGGCGUGACGUCCUUGUCCAGGUUAAAGAGGAUGGGGACAUGUAGGGCUGUUAGAUGUGCUGGGGAAGCUCGUGGAAGUUCUUGAAUUGCUUCUGUGUUCUUGCUGCCGUCGUCUGGACCUCGGCUGAGAGGUGAGGGAAGGGAGCGGAAACUUUGGAGGCUGGCGAAGGAGGACCACAGCAGACAUGUCCAGUUAGAGAGUGAACAGAGGACAUGUAAUUCACUUGCUGGAGAACAUCACUUCCCUUGAGGUCUGUGGUUACACGUUGGGACCAGCCAGCAGGGUUGUGUUCUUCUCCAGUCAGUGGUGUAGGCAAAGUGUACAGUUAAGUGUUAAAUGUAACCAAGGCAGGGAGUGAGUACCAUGUGGUCAGGAUGUCAACGGGGUGGGCUAAAAGCAUCCGAGCCGAGGACACGAGAAGGGCUGGAAGAUAGUGAUAAGGUUGUAGAGCUCUGGGUUGUGCGUCCUUGUGGUGUUUAGAAUUGCUGCAGUGGGGGUGUGGGUAAUGAACGAGGAAGAGGUCCGUUCUGGAGUUAAGAUCGUAGAGG